AGGACGAACGCUGGCGGCGUGCUUAACACAUGCAAGUCGAGCGGAAGGCCUUCGGGUACGUCGAGCGGCGAACGGGUGAGUAACACGUGAGCAACCUGCCCUUAGCUCCGGGAUAGCUCCGGGAAACCGGAAUUAAUACCGGAUACGACCACGGCCGACAUCUGCUGUGGUGGAAAGGAUUCCGGCUAAGGGAUGGGCUCGCGGCCGUACUCAGCUAGUUGGUGGAGGUAACGGCCCACCAAGGCGACGACGGGUA
rnacentral:rRNA from 1 species